UGGGGAAUAUUGGACAAUGGGCGAAAGCCUGAUCCAGCAAUGCCGCGUGUGUGAAGAAGGCCUUCGGGUUGUAAAGCACUUUAGUGGGGGAAGAAGGCCACGCAAGUGGAUUGACGGUACCCCAAGAAUAAGCACCGGCUAACUCUGUGCCAGCAGCCGCGGUAAUACAGAGGGUGCGAGCGUUAAUCGGAAUGACUGGGCGUAAAGGGCGCGUAGGUGGAUGUGUGUGUUGGAUGUGAAAGCCCCGGGCUUAACCUGGGAAUUGCAUACAAAACUGCACAUCUAGAGUAGAGCAGAGGUGAGUGGAAUUUCCGGAGUAGCGGUGAAAUGCGUAGAUACCGGAAGGAACACCAGUGGCGAAGGCGACUCACUGGGCUCAAACUGACACUGAGGCGCGAAAGCGUGGGGAGCAAACAGG
rnacentral:rRNA from 1 species